AUGCUCAUGCAAAACUGCAUGAAUGCCCCU
rnacentral:misc_RNA from 1 species